GCAGCGGUAGCACAACUGGAGAGUGCGCCAGCCUCGUGCUGGGAGUAUGUGGGGUUCAAGUUCCACCGCUGCU
rnacentral:tRNA from 1 species